rnacentral:rRNA from 1 species
AUUGAACGCUGGCGGUAUGCUUUACACAUGCAAGUCGAACGGCAGCACGGGGCAACCUGGUGGCGAGUGGCGAACGGGUGAGUAAUACAUCGGAACGUGCCCAAUCGUGGGGGAUAACGUAGCGAAAGUUACGCUAAUACCGCAUACGAUCUACGGAUGAAAGCGGGGGAUCGCAAGACCUAGCGCGAAUGGAGCGGCCGAUGUCAGAUUAGGUAGUUGGUGGGGUAAAGGCUCACCAAGCCGACGAUCUGUAGCUGGUCUGAGAGGACGACCAGCCACACUGGGACUGAGACACGGCCCAGACUCCUACGGGAGGCAGCAGUGGGGAAUUUUGGACAAUGGGCGCAAGCCUGAUCCAGCCAUUCCGCGUGCAGGAUGAAGGCCUUCGGGUUGUAAACUGCUUUUGUACGGAGCGAAAAGGCUCUCUCUAAUACAGGGGGCUCAUGACGGUACCGUAAGAAUAAGCACCGGCUAACUACGUGCCAGCAGCCGCCGUAAGAC